CACCGGCGGCUCGAGUGGUGGCCCCUUUUAUUGGGUCUAAAGCGUCCGGAGCCGGCUUGGCAAGUCCCCUGGGAAAUCUGGCGGCUUAACCGUCAGGCGUCCAGAGGAUACUGCCAGGCUUGGGACCGGGAGAGGUGAGAGGUACCUCAGGGGUAGGGGUGAAAUCUUGUGAUCCCUGAGGGACCACCAGUGGCGAAGGCGUCUCACUAGAACGGGUCCGACGGUCAGGGACGAAAGCUGGGGGCACGAACCGG
rnacentral:rRNA from 1 species